rnacentral:rRNA from 1 species
UACAGAGACCUCAAGCGUUAUCCGGAUUUAUUGGGCGUAAAGAGCAGGUAGGUGGAAAUAUUAGUCAGAUGUCAAAUCCCCGGGCUCAACCCGAGAACUGCAUUUGAAACGGUAUUUCUAGAGGGAGUGAGAGAUUACUGGAACUUAUGGUGUAGCAGUGAAAUGCGUUGAUAUCAUGAGGAACACCAAAGGCGAAGGCAGGUAAUUGGCACUCUCCUGACACUGAUCUGCGAAAGCGUGGGUAGCGAAUGGG